AUUGAACGCUGGCGGCAUGCCUUACACAUGCAAGUCGAACGGUAACAGGUUAAGCUGACGAGUGGCGAACGGGUGAGUAAUACAUCGGAACGUGCCCAGACGUGGGGGAUAGCUCGGCGAAAGCCGGAUUAAUACCGCAUGUGAUCUGAGGAUGAAAGCGGGGGACCGUAAGGCCUCGCGCGUUUGGAGCGGCCGAUGGCAGUGUAGGUAGUUGGUGGGGUAAAGGCUUACCAAGCCUACGAUCUGUAGCUGGUCUGAGAGGACGGCCAGCCACACUGGGACUGAGACACGGCCCAGACUCCUACGGGAGGCAGCAGUGGGGAAUUUUGGACAAUGGGCGAAAGCCUGAUCCAGCAAUGCCGCGUGCAGGAUGAAGGCCUUCGGGUUGUAAACUGCUUUUGUACGGAACGAAAAGGCGCCUACUAAUACUGGGUGUUGAUGACGGUACCGUAAGAAUAAGCACCGGCUAACUACGUGCCAGCAGCCGCGGUAAUAC
rnacentral:rRNA from 1 species